GCAACUUAUCCAUAAUAGGAUGCUGAAAAAUACUUAAAGGGUCAAAAAGUGUCUGUCCUCUCGAUUUGGCCCAGCAUCUGCCAGAUUGUGGCCUCUAUAUCUAAUGAGCUUCAGCCUCCACUCAACUCUGCCUUCACCCCCGAACCCUAAGUGGACUGAUGGACUCUGCAACUGCAGAACCAGCUGAUCCAGAGGACCCACUGUAGUAUUCUCCCCACGCAACAGAGGAGGGAGCAAGCUGCUGAUGCUGCCUGGGGUUUAAUGGAGUUCGUUUUCAAUCCAGGAACCACCACUUCUUCUCUUCCACCCCACCAGUCUCCCUGGUCCAUACCCACAUGGUUUUGUAGACUCAAGGCUCUCAAACUUUGGCAUGCAUCAAAAUCACUUGGAGAAAAGUAAUUAGCCUCCAACUAAUAAAAAUAAAUGGAAAAAAAAAAUCACCUGGAGAGCUUGUUAAAAACAC